rnacentral:rRNA from 1 species
UACGAAGGGUGCAAACGUUGCUCGGAAUUAUUGGGCGUAAAGCGCACGUAGGCGGCUUUGCAAGUCGGAUGUGAAAUCCCUCGGCUCAACCAAGGAAGUGCAUCCGAAACUGCUGAGCUUGAGUACUUAAGGGGAUCGCGGAAUUCCCGGUGUAGAGGUGAAAUUCGUAGAUAUCGGGAGGAACACCAGUGGCGAAGGCGGCGAUCUGGGAAGAUACUGACGCUGAGGUGCGAAAGCGUGGGGAGCAAACAGG